CACGUAGGGGGCGAGCGUUGUCCGGAUUUAUUGGGCGUAAAGAGCUCGUAGGCGGCUUUGUCAGUCGGGUGUGAAACCUCCAGGCUCAACCUGGAGCCGCCACCCGAUACUGCAAUAGCUAGAGUCCGGUAGGGGAGCAUGGAACUCCUGGUGUAGCGGUGAAAUGCGCAGAUAUCAGGAAGAACACCAGUGGCGAAGGCGGUGCUCUGGGCUGACACUGACGCUCAUGCACGAAAGCGUGGGGAGCAAACAGG
rnacentral:rRNA from 1 species